rnacentral:rRNA from 1 species
UACGUAGGGUGCGAGCGUUGUCCGGAAUUAUUGGGCGUAAAGAGCUUGUAGGCGGUUUGUCGCGUCUGCUGUGAAAAUCCGGGGCUCAACUCCGGACUUGCAGUGGGUACGGGCAGACUAGAGUGUGGUAGGGGGAGACUGGAAUUCCUGGUGUAGCGGUGGAAUGCGCAGAUAUCAGGAGGAACACCGGUGGCGAAGGCGGGAUCCUGGGCCAGUACUGACGCUGAGGAGCGAAAGCGUGGGGAGCGAACAGG